CACGAGCCAGCUCACUCUCACCACACCCCAGCAACAGAGCAAAACUAGCCAGAAACAUUACGCAGGGCUGCCUCGUUCGGCUCUCCGGACGCGUUCAAGAGAAUAUGUCAGAAGAAAUGUCAAUGUUCGGACGAGCCGGUGUAGGUAGAGAUUCGGCGCACCCUGGACAUCGAGAGAUCCCUAUUGAGCAUGCUCCGCAAACCUCGAUUGAUGAGUUGUUGAAGGUAAUAAAAGGAGCCAAUGGCAUGCCGGUGCUGUUCAUGCCCACCAGUGACGGCCGGCUGGCAGCAGUGGCCGUAGACGGCCUUCAGAGUUUGAUGCCCGCCAAACGCGAGGGCAGCGACCCUGUCAAAAAGGAGGAGGAGGAUUUCCGUGCCUGCUUGUUUGUCCUGACAUCACUAGUUGCUACUGUCACCUUCGCCGCAGGGCUCACUCCACCCGGUGGCUUCUGGGCGGAUGACAACGGGUACGUGGCUGGUACCCCGAUUAUGCGAGAUAAAUUUAGCAGAAGGUACUUCCUGUUUCAGUACUGCAACACAUGCGCCUUCUUCACGUCCUUACGAUCAUUGCGUCGCUCGCCAAGAACUGGAAUAUCGAGAAGAUCAUGACUAUUCCAUUCACAUGCAUUGUAGGAGUCUGUUUUCUGAGCAUGGGAAUUAGCUUUAUCGCCGGCACGUGGAACAGCAACGCCGGCCCCAAACAACUGUGGCCUGCCGUUUUUGUCCUUGCAAUUAACAUUGUCUACAUGACGGGGGAUCGGAUUAAGGAAAUGUUUUCCGGUAUAUAAUCUAGUAAUAGCUGUGGGGACUCCCCGAAUCCGGUGCUUAAGAGCUCCGCUCAGUACUAAUCACGACAAGUAAUUUGGAAGGGAGGGAGUAUGAAUGAGUAACGGCAAAGAAGACUCGAUGGUACUUGUAGUGAACCCUGGUAUGUGUAUUGUAUUUGUAACUUCGUGAGAACCCAGCUUCUGGUACUCAUCUUCUUGUAACUCCUGGUAUGUAUAUUGUAUUUGUAACUGAGUACAUGGUAAUUAUGCCCUCA